CACGUUUCCAUAUCUUUCUACUUUAUAUCUACUAUCCAUCUACUGGAACUGGAUGUGCCCAAAUAAGCUCCCAGAACUUCCCUUUUAUGGUCAGGACUUAUUAAAACCAUUAAUGAAAAUAAUAUUUCUGAUUGUGGCCGUACGCGUGGCCAUUUUGUCUUUAUAACUCUCCAUGAUGCAUGCAUGCCUGGUUAGUGAAUAUUAAUAUUCAUGUUGAUUUUCACGCCACACAGCUUUAUGACCCCGUGGAUUCAUUCCUUAUUCAUAUAUCAAGUUGCAGGGAAGAAGAUCUAUUGUGAAAUUCAUUCAACUUAAAGGAAAGUGUAAGAGAGAUACUAAAAAAAGAGAGUGCGAGGAAUGAGUUUAGAGCAAACCUAUUGCUAGCAGGGGGAGAGUGAGGCUAUUGGAUCAAACAAAUUUGUCAACUACUUCCAAAUAUUGAUCCAAACAGGCUAAAAUCACCAAGUGCUCCAAUGCCGAUAGCAGAUGAAGUUCCAAGUCCCGUAAUUCCACUGUCUGACAAAGCAAGUUGUUCAGGUGCUAAUAAGCUUCAAUCCCCAAUUGUAUCGCAUCAAGAUGAUAACGUUGAUCCAAUUGAACCCCAGGAAGAUGUGAAGAAACGCGGCAAGUCCCUUGUUGAGGGAAUCCAAACAGAUUACUCAGACAGAAAUGCCGCAUUCUUCUUAAAGUCCUAUGUCGACCUAUGAAGAUUACACGUGAAACCUUCAUCUUGCAUGAAGAUAUUUUGCAGCGUGGUGCCAUGCAAGAAAUUGGAGCCACUGUUAUAGCUACAUAUAUUGAGGUACCCCUAUAUGAGUAGUUGAAAAAUGGAAAUAUGGUAACGAUGGUUGGACUAGUCGACCCUGCUCAAGUAAGCGCUAACUCGGGACCAUACUCUCAUAGAGCACACUACUUAGCAAAUCAGUUUUAAAACGCAAAUCCUAACCAAAUUUUCUUGGUGCCUUACAAUACCGGAAAUCAUUGGGUCUUGAUACUUGUGAAACCGAGAAAAGAGACCAUAUGUAUUAUAUGGAUUCACUAUCACAACGUGUCAAUGAUAAAGAUUGCAAAAAUAUAGUGAACACAUAAGUUGGUUUACUACAUUGUAAUGCGUGUUUGUAUACCAAAAUAUAUUGCAAUAACAUCUUGUUAUCUUGAAAUAGUGCGAUCAAAGUAUUCACUGCUCAAAAUAGCAAACAAGGGCGUAAAGUACCCAAUUGGAAAGUUUUGGAGGGCACUCCAAGGCAACCAACAAAUGUAGAGUGUGGUUAUUAUUAUGUAAUGCGUUUUAUGAGAGACAUAGCUACGAAUCCAAGAUUAUAGUUUGCGCAAAAGUGGGAUAAGAGGAAUAAAAACUCAUCAUGUACCCAAGAACAAAUUGAUGAAGCUCGAAAGGAAUGGGCAGAAUAUGUGAGCAAUCAUAUAUGUCGUAUCGCCUAUCUAUCUAAUUACAGUUUAAGGUUUUAGAUUGUUAUGUGGAUAAUAGUAGAUUGGUAUGAAUGGAUGUGAAAUUUUGUAUC